rnacentral:rRNA from 1 species
GGCUCAGGACGAACGCUGGCGGCGUGCCUAACACAUGCAAGUCGAGCGGAGAUGAUGCGAGGAAGUUUCGGAUGGAAUCGUAUUAUUUAGCGGCGGACGGGUGAGUAACGCGUGAGCGACCAACCUUGCACAGGGGGAUAACGGACCGAAAGGUUCACUAAUACCGCAUGAGACCACGGUGUUGCAUGACACAGGGGUCAAAGGAGGAAUCCGGUGCAAGACGGGCUCGCGUCCGAUUAGGUAGUUGGUGGGGUAAAGGCUCACCAAGCCAAUGAUCGGUAGCCGACCUGAGAGGGUGAUCGGCCACAUUGGAACUGAGAGACGGUCCAAACUCCUACGGGAGGCAGCAGUGGGGAAUAUUGGGCCAAUGGGGGGAACCCUGACCCAGCAACGCCGCGUGAAGGAAGAAGGUUUUCGGAUUGUAAACUUCUGUCCUUGGUGAAGAGAAGAAGACGGUAGCCGAGGAGGAAGCCCCGGCUAACUACGUGCCAGCCGCCGC